rfam:Oikopleura dioica, whole genome shotgun assembly, reference scaffold set, scaffold scaffold_101
AAACCGGCCCUUUUUAGGGCCACAUAUAAAAAAAUUUUAAAAUUUU